rnacentral:ncRNA from 1 species
GUAUGACAAGAAACCCCUAUAGAACUUUAAUUAAUAAAAACUCCUAUAACUGAACAUUAAGGGAUAACAGUUUUUAAUGGAUUAACAAUUUUGGUUGGGGUAACCUUGGAGAAUAAACUUAGGGAUAACAGUGCAAUCCUAUUCUAGAGUUCAACAAUAGGAUUAAUGACCUCGAUGCUGGGUCAGGAUAUUCCACUAAUAAAAUUGCUAUUUAAUGGUCUGUUCAACAAUGAACAUCCUACAUAACCUGAGUUCAGACUGGAGUAAUCCUGGUCACUUUCUAUCUAC